GUUGCCAGCAUUUAGUUGGGCGACUCUAAGGGGACGUGCCGGUCGAUAAGCCGAGAGGAAGGUGGGGAGUGACGUCAAGUCCUCCAUGGCCCUUACGGGCUGGGCUACACACGUGCUACAAUGGUGGUGACAGUGGGCAGCGAGCACGCGAGUGUGAGCUAAUCUCCAAAAGCCAUCUCAGUUCGGAUUGCACUCUGCAACUCGAGUGCAUGAAGUUGGAAUCGCUAGUAAUCGCGGAUCAGCAUGCCGCGGUGAAUACGUUCCCGGGCCUU
rnacentral:rRNA from 1 species